GGCUGGUCUGAAAGUAGUAGUGGGUUAUCUUGAUGAAUUGUUUAGUCAGUUACAGAUCAAACUCCAUGUUCUUUUCUCUGUUCUCACGACUACUCUUGACUAGUCUAAA
ensembl:misc_RNA Y_RNA Y RNA